CCUACGUGAGGCAGCAGUGGGGAAUAUUGGACAAUGGGCGAAAGCCUGAUCCAGCCAUGCCGCGUGUGUGAAGAAGGCCUUCGGGUUGUAAAGCACUUUCAGUGGGGAAGAAAGCCUUGGGGCUAAUACCCUCGAGGAAGGACAUCACCCACAGAAGAAGCACCGGCUAACUCCGUGCCAGCAGCCGCGGUAAUACGGAGGGUGCGAGCGUUAAUCGGAAUUACUGGGCGUAAAGCGCGCGUAGGCGGUCUGAUAAGCCGGUUGUGAAAGCCCCGGGCUCAACCUGGGAACGGCAUCCGGAACUGUCAGGCUAGAGUGCAGGAGAGGAAGGUAGAAUUCCCGGUGUAGCGGUGAAAUGCGUAGAGAUCGGGAGGAAUACCAGUGGCGAAGGCGGCCUUCUGGACUGACACUGACGCUGAGGUGCGAAAGCGUGGGUAGCAAACAGGAUUAGAUACUCUAGUAGUC
rnacentral:rRNA from 1 species